UACGAAGGGGGCUAGCGUUGCUCGGAAUCACUGGGCGUAAAGGGCGCGUAGGCGGCCAUUCAAGUCAGAGGUGAAAGCCCAAGGCUCAACCUUGGAACUGCCUUUGAUACUGUUUGGCUUGAGACCGGUAGAGGUAAGUGGAACUGCGAGUGUAGAGGUGAAAUUCGUAGAUAUCAAGCAGAACACCUGCGGCGAAGGCGGCCUUCUGGACGAUGACUGACGCUGAGACGCGAAAGCGUGGGGAGCAAACAGG
rnacentral:rRNA from 1 species